ensembl:lncRNA
GAGACGGGAUCCCCUCCUCUCGGUUUGAAGAGCGCCGCCAUGACGGAUGACCGCGGUCCGGAGUGCGGACACGGCAUUACUGAUGACCUUGGUCCCGGAGCGAACCCUGAUCAUCAGUUAUGACAGGGCUGAGAGAGGUCUGAGGACUGAGAGAGGUCAGAGGACCGAGAGAGGUCAGAGGACCGAGAGAGGUCAGAGGACCGAGAGAGGUCUGAGGACGUGGCUGAGAGAGGUCUGAGAACGUGGCUGAGAGAGGUCUGAGGACUGAGAGAGGUCAGAGGACUGAGAGAGCUCUGAGGACUAAGAGAGCUCUGAGGACUGAGAGAGCUCUGAGGACGGGGCUGAGAGAGGUCGAAG